CCUACGGGAGGCAACAGUGAGGAAUAUUGGUCAAUGGACGCGAGUCUGAACCAGCAAAGUAGCGUGAAGGAUGACUGCUCUCUGGGUUGUAAACUUCUUUUAUAUGGGCAUAAAAUGUUCCACGUGUGGGCUUUUGUAUGUACCAUAUGAAUAUGGCUCGGCUAACUCCGUGCCAGCAGCCGCGGUCAUUAGGCGGAUUCGAGCGUUAUCCGGAUUUCUUGGGGUUAAAGGGAGCGUAGGUGUAUGGUUAAGUCAGUUGUGAAAGUUUGCGGCUCAACCGUAAAAUUGCAGUUGAAACUGGCAGUCUUGAGGACAGUAGAGGUGGGCGGAAUUCGUGGUGUAGCGGUGAAAUGCUGAGAUAUCACGAAGAACUCCGAUUGCGAAGGCAGCUCAGUGGACUGCAACUGACACUGAGGCUCGAAAGUGGGGGUAUCAAACAGGAUUAGAAACCCUUGUAGUC
rnacentral:rRNA from 1 species